UAAACUAGGAUUAGAUACCCUAUUAUUUUGUACGUUAAUUUUACCAGGGUAAUAAUAGUUAUGUUCUUUAAACCUAAAGAAUAUGGCGGUACUUUAGUCUAAUUAGAGGAAUCUGCCCUAUUAUCGAUAUUCCACGUUUUAUUUUUCUUGAAUUUGUAAUUUCAGUAUGUAUAUCGCCGUUAUAAGUUUAUUUUUUUAGAAUAAAAUUUACUUCUGUCAUUAAUUUGAUAAAUUUCAGGUCAAGGUGCAGCUUAUAUUCAAGUAGAGGUGGAUUACAUUAUUAUUUAAAUAUAUGGAUUUAAGUUUGAAAAGUUUAUUGAAAGUGGAUUUAUUAGUAAUUUUAUUAUUAUAUUAAUUUGAUUUUAGCUCUAAAGUAAGUACACAUCG
rnacentral:rRNA from 1 species